UCUCUUCCCUUUUUUUUUUUUUUUUGUUUUUUUCCUUUUUUUUAUUUUUGUUUUGAAAUGUUUUAUGUGGGAAGCGAACAGGAAAAGAUUCGCUUUCAUUUUUGAAGGAGAAGAAAAAUCCCUUAUUCG
rnacentral:ribozyme from 13 species